CUUGUAGCAUGUGAUUAGCCUGAGACCUGGUUAGUGGCUUUAAGUGCCUCAUAAGGGAAAAAAGUUUAGCAGGUAAGCAACAAUUCCAUGGAAGUAGGAAUAGAAGGGAUUGGAGCUAGACAUGAGGUCAUAUGAGGUGAGUGUUCAAGAAAAGGGAUGGUCAGAAAAAAGCCAAGGUAAAGAGGGAGACAUCUGGUAAAUUCGGAAUUCAGAGUAAGGAAUUGUCAGAAUAUAAAGGCUGUAAAACAGACAGUAGGAAACAAGAGAUACAGGUGGAGUUGUUAGCAUUUGCCUGCUGAAGCAGAUUUACUAAUGUGGAAUAACUGUUGGGGGAUCCCGUCUGAUCAAAGGAGUUCACCUCUGCUGGAUCUCUAGGUGUGCCUUGGGAUUGGGGACAGCUUUAUUUCAGAGUCAGCUUUGGCCCCUUGCUUCUGUAGGAGAAAUUAGUUGUCUUUGGAGAAUCCAAGCUUCGCUUCGUUCUGUGAUAAAUAUAGAAGAAGUUUAUCAUCUGGGAUUUCACGUUCUGCCUCUGAUGCCAAAUCUUCCAACUGGGACCUGCCUCUUAUUCUCUGAAGAAGAUCCCUCCAGUUAUUGAGACUCUUCUAUAAGAAAGAAGUUUGGUGAGCAGAUGAACUGAACUGCUGUAGCUGAACUCUUCUGACCCCUUCACAUGGAUAUAUCCGGUGAAAACAGCCAAGUCAUCACAGGCUCUUACAGUGUGAACUCUAAAUACGUCCAGUAUCUGUUUCUUUGGGAUCGAAUUCAACAGGCCAUUGUGACACUGAUGGAAAUAUAAAAGAGACAUUCUGUAUUUGUACAGAAUCUAUGGAGGUAAGCGAAAGAGCAAGGAAGAGACAUAAAGAGAAUAGGAAGGAGGGAGAA